UGGAAUAUAGAAAGGAGAGAUCUUUGGCGAUCCCCUUGAGAAGGACGGAACGAGCUUUUGCUCACUACAACACACCAUGUGUGUUUGCAGGCAUCGCUCCUUUGUGAGCAUCUCGGCAUAUUGCCAUCAUUUUUU
rfam:Rhizopus microsporus genome assembly, contig: SCAF102